UACUCCUACGGGAGGCAGCAGUGGGGAAUUUUGGACAAUGGGCGAAAGCCUGAUCCAGCAAUGCCGCGUGUGUGAAGAAGGCCUUCGGGUUGUAAAGCACUUUUGUCCGGAAAGAAAUGGCUCUGGUUAAUACCCGGAGUCGAUGACGGUACCGGAAGAAUAAGGACCGGCUAACUUCGUGCCAGCAGCCGCGGUAAUACGAAGGGUGCAAGCGUUACUCGGAAUUACUGGGCGUAAAGCGUGCGUAGGUGGUCGUUUAAGUCCGUUGUGAAAGCCCUGGGCUCAACCUGGGAACUGCAGUGGAUACUGGACGACUAGAGUGUGGUAGAGGGUAGCGGAAUUCCUGGUGUAGCAGUGAAAUGCGUAGAGAUCAGGAGGAACAUCCAUGGCGAAGGCAGCUACCUGGACCAACACUGACACUGAGGCACGAAAGCGUGGGGAGCAAACAGGAUUAGAUACCCUGGUAGUCCACGCCCUAAACGAUGCGAACUGGAUGUUGGGUGCAAUUUGGCACGCAGUAUCGAAGCUAACGCGUUAAGUUCGCCGCCUGGGGAGUACGGUCGCAAGACUGAAACUCAAAGGAAUUGACGGA
rnacentral:rRNA from 1 species